GAGUUUGAUCCUGGCUCAGGACGAACGCUGGCGGCGUGCCUAAUACAUGCAAGUCGAACGCACGAAGUUGAAGAGCUUGCUCUUUGACCAAGUGAGUGGCGGACGGGUGAGUAACACGUGGGUAACCUGCCCAUUAGAGGGGGAUAACAUUCGGAAACGGAUGCUAAUACCGCAUAGUUUCAGGAAUCGCAUGAUUCUUGAAGGAAAGGUGGCUUCGGCUACCACUAAUGGAUGGACCCGCGGCGUAUUAGCUAGUUGGUGAGGUAAUGGCUCACCAAGGCAAUGAUACGUAGCCGACCUGAGAGGGUGAUCGGCCACACUGGGACUGAGACACGGCCCAGACUCCUACGGGAGGCAGCAGUAGGGAAUCUUCCGCAAUGGACGAAAGUCUGACGGAGCAACGCCGCGUGAGUGAAGAAGGUUUUCGGAUCGUAAAACUCUGUUGUUAAAGAAGAACAAGGAUGAGAGUAACUGCUCAUCCCCUGACGGUAUUUAACCAGAAAGCCACGGCUAACUACGUGCCAGCAGCCGCGGUAAUACGUAGGUGGCAAGCGUUGUCCGGAUUUAUUGGGCGUAAAGCGAGCGCAGGCGGUUCUUUAAGUCUGAUGUGAAAGCCCCCGGCUCAACCGGGGAGGGUCAUUGGAAACUGGAGAACUUGAGUGCAGAAGAGGAGAGUGGAAUUCCACGUGUAGCGGUGAAAUGCGUAGAUAUGUGGAGGAACACCAGUGGCGAAGGCGACUCUCUGGUCUGUAACUGACGCUGAGGCUCGAAAGCGUGGGGAGCAAACAGGAUUAGAUAC
rnacentral:rRNA from 1 species